GCACACAGGUGCUGCAUGGCUGUCGUCAGCUCGUGUCGUGAGAUGUUGGGUUAAGUCCCGCAACGAGCGCAACCCUUGCCAUUAGUUGCUACGAAAGGGCACUCUAAUGGGACUGCCGGUGACAAACCGGAGGAAGGUGGGGGAUGACGUCAAGUCCUCAUGGCCCUUAUAGGUGGGGCUACACACGUCAUACAAUGGCCGGUACAGAGGGUAGCCAACCCGCGAGGGGGAGCCAAUCCCACAAAGCCGGUCGUAGUCCGGAUCGCAGUCUGCAACUCGACUGCGUGAAGUCGGAAUCGCUAGUAAUCGUGGAUCAGCAUGUCACGGUGAAUACGUUCCCGGGUCUU
rnacentral:rRNA from 1 species